GGAAAAGGAAGAGAAGGAAAAAUGGCGGAAAGAAAAAGAAUAUAAAUGGUGAGAGAAAGAAAAUUCUAGAGAGAGAAGGAAAGUUCUAGAGAGAGAGGGAGGUCACCGCCGCUCCGGCCACGAGGGGUCCGGUUCCGGCCGAGCCUUCUUCAUGAAAUCUUCACAGAACUUAGAGGAGAACAUUCUUAACUUUUAGAUCAUCCGAAACCAUCAAGAAACGAGGAAAAAUCUAAAGAGGAUUACGCUCAAAACCUGUGAAGGAAGUUGUAAUCGAUUCAGAUCGGAAAUGGGAGUUUCGGCGUUCGUCAAAGAGGAGAAAGGAGGAGGAGGAUGCGCUUCGCCGGAGAAGAAGGGCCACGUGUCAAGCGUCCAUUGGAGACGAAAAAUCAAAGAAAUACUUCGCGUCGGGCGGGAUUCGAAGGCCGGCGGCCCGCUACUCGAGUUCGCGACCCGAUGACUCGCGCGCAACCCGGACCACCGACCCGGCUUCUCGUUGCCACGCGUCAGCGUAAAAGAACUCGAAUUUCCAGCGCGCCCUUCCGGUUUCGAACCGACGACCUCGACCUCGGCUGACCGUUCAGCUGGCGCCACGUGGCAACACCUCAGCGCGCGUCUCCCCUCCCUCAUGCGCGUCCGUACGCGCGCGUGGCCGUGCGCGUGUAGCACCUUCCCAGGCGCGUGUGAGCGCGUGAGGGUUUAAAUGAGAAAAUUCAGUAUUUGUGGACACUCUAUUGGUGAAGAAAUGCUUAACGAAGAACACGCGUCAAUCGUGUGCCGGUCGAGGUGGAGGAGCGUUCGAGAGCUGUGCGGUCACAGAGGGGGUCGUUCCGGAGCGUCAGUCCCCUGUCAGUCUUUCGAGUCUUUUGUGUUUCAGUUUACAUUUGUAAUUUCCUUUGUAAUAAUUUCAAAACAAAUCUUCUCUCUCUUGUUUUAAUCAAAUGGAGUUUUUAUCUUUUUA